rnacentral:rRNA from 1 species
CCGCGUGAGUGAUGAAGGUUUUCGGAUCGUAAAACUCUGUUGUUAGGGAAGAACAAGUACGAGAGUAACUGCUCGUACCUUGACGGUACCUAACCAGAAAGCCACGGCUAACUACGUGCCAGCAGCCGUGGUAAUACGUAGGUGGCAAGCGUUGUCCGGAAUUAUUGGGCGUAAAGCGCGCGCAGGCGGUUUCUUAAGUCUGAUGUGAAAGCCCACGGCUCAACCGUGGAGGGUCAUUGGAAACUGGGAAACUUGAGUGCAGAAGAGGAGAGUGGAAUUCCACGUGUAGCGGUGAAAUGCGUAGAGAUGUGGAGGAACACCAGUGGCGAAGGCGGCUCUCUGGUCUGUAACUGACGCUGAGGCGCGAAAGCGUGGGGAGCGAACAGGAUUAGAUACCCUGGUAGUCCACGCCGUAAACGAUGAGUGCUAAGUGUUAGAGGGUUUCCGCCCUUUAGUGCUGAAGUCAACGCAUUAAGCACUCCGCCUGGGGAGUACGGUCGCAAGACUGAAACUCAAAGGAAUUGACGGGGGCCCGCACAAGCGGUGGAGCAUGUGGUUUAAUUCGAAGCAACGCGAAGAACCUUACCAGGUCUUGACAUCCUCUGACACUCCUAGAGAUAGGACGUUCCCUUCGGGGACAGAGUGACAGGUGGUGCAUGGUUGUCGUCAGCUCGUGUCGUGAGAUGUUGGGUUAAGUCCCGCAACGAGCGCAACCCUUGAU